rnacentral:lncRNA from 1 species
UUAGAGUGACAAGACGCAGAUGGUCCUCCGCUAAUACAUCCUUUUCUUUUUUCAUCUUCGCUAAUAUAUUUUCCUUUUUUUAUUUUUUCUAGUGAUGCCUUUCUUUUUAAUUUAUUUUGAUUUCUUUAAUCUUCUUAAUUUCCUUAGCUUCUUUCAUUUUUUUUUAUUUGUUUUGAUUCUUUCCCUUUUUAGUAUUUCUCUCGAGUUUAAAUUUACGUUUGUGUUGAUUUAUUUCCUUUGUAUUUCGUUUGAUUUAUUUAUAUAUUUUAUUUUGAUUCCUUUUUCUUUUGAUUAUUUAAUUACUUAUUUCCUUUGUUGGUAUAUUUUUGUAUAUUCUUUUAUUUUUGGACUAAACAUUACAAUAAAGGAAUUUAACACUAUCCUUAGUUCCUUACACUCUCAACGUUAACGACGGAUUGGAGACAGGAAUAUUUAUAUAUGAACAAAUGUUAUCCAUUUCGAGGGGAACUAUCGUUACUCUCGUGUGCUAUAUUGAAAGAAAAUAAAGCCAUUUUUCAUGUAUAUUCACCAUUAAGCAUGCUAAUAAAGAGAUAAAAUUCUACAAAUUAAUGAAUAAGGCCGUCAAAUUUAUGGGCUGUCAUGGACUUUUAUAAUAUAGUAUAUAUAUCAUCAAAAGACAAUCAAAUUCUGCAGUUUUUCGAACUAAAACAUAGAAAACUAUUUUUGCCUAUUGCCACAAUCCAAUGUAGCCAUCUUCUUCCAUGGGCAUCCCAUUACAAACUUGUGAGUAAUCCUGUAAUCCUCCGAGCUCAACCAUGUUUCGACUGAUGAAAUAACCAGUGAUCUCGUAGCUAUAGCUGGGACAAGAAUAAUCCAUCUCCAUAUCAAUCCAUUCAAAAUCUUGGUGAUGAAGAUGAGGAGAUAUGGAGGAGCAUUCCAACUGAUCUUCUUCAGAGAAUCGACACUCAGAGACGGACCUACGUUGUCAGGUAUGGGGGCACGUGCCCCCACAACUUAAUUUAUUUUUAAUAGUUAUAUAUGUCCCCAAACCCAACUAUUUCAAUCCCCGGCCCAAAAAUAUCCAGCCCAAUUAUAAUAGUGCCUUGUAACCUUUUUUAUUUUAUAAUAUUUCUAAUCCCCAAACCUCAAAUUAAUGCCGACUUGAAAAGUGAUAUCAUUAUAUAAAAUAAAAAAUUCUUGUCAUGUUAAAUAAGGAAUUCGCAGUGCAAACAGACUCUCUCAAUUUUUAAAGCAGAUUGCUCUCUCUCUCUCACACUCUCUCUCUCCUUGUUCCAUCAUCAUCAUAAAAGCUUUAUAAUCAAAAAAUAAUUCAUAUUAUAAAUUUAUAAUAUAAAUUAAUUUGAUUUCUUCUUUCAAAUUUGAUGGGAGAUAAUGGAUAUAUAAAUGAUUGCUUGAUUAUAUAUAUUGAAACAAAGAUUUUUGAUAGUUUUGAUAAUGAAUCAAUCAUUUAAAUGUUUCGAUCAAUGAGAACUCGUAUGUUUCAAUUGUAAUAGACUUGAAAUACUAUGUAGUACUCCCUCAUUCCAAUUACAAAUGUCUCAUUACUUUUGAGCACAUAGAUUAAGAAUUGUGUAAAAAGUAAAUAAAGUGAUUGAUGAAAAUUAUUUAAAUAUUAGGUAUAAAGAGAGAAUACCAAAAAUGGAACGAGACAUUUGUAAUGAGACAUCUCAUUAUCAAAAGUGAGACAUUUGUAAUGAAACGGAGAGAGCAGUUGUUUUGAACGUAUUUUUUAUAUAUAACUAUUUUGUGCUCCCAUAACAAAAAAAUUCUGGAUCCGUCCCUGUCGACACUCCUCUGAAGAGCCGUCAUCUGAGAAGUAUGUCUCCGAACAUGAAUCUUGAUUCAUAAUCUCAGGUUGAAGAGACUCAAUCAACACUUCAUCUUGUGAAUCUUCAACAAAAUACAUAAUGAGUGACCUAUCGAUCAGUAACUCAUCAAUGUUCAAAUCAUCAAGAAAGCAUAUUUCAUGAGUUGCUGCAACAUUAGCCAUAUAGUAGAAAUGGAUUCAAAUCAAGUCAAGGAUUGAAAUAUUGGAAGAUAUAGAGAGGGAGGGAGUAAUUGGAAAUGUCACACUUUGUUUCUCAAUGUUGAGUACACUAUUUAUAGGAUAAUCAUGUGGCAACUACCAUGGUUUUGCAUGUGCAGUUGGUUCUAC